AGGUUUGUUUUGUUCCUGCCCUUUUCAGACACUGAAUUUGAGCAGAAACCAUAAGGAUACUCAAAGGACCUGUGACUCUCAGGAAAUGCAUCAAAUGAGAGGGACAGAUGAAACAGUUUCAAGACAAUGGCAGGAAAAACAUGCUGAAGAUUGAAACAAACCUUGGCUGGAAAUAUUUGAAGGUAUCUAGCCAGUCCACAAUGAAAGCUUCGUUGCACCCA